rnacentral:misc_RNA from 1 species
UGGAAAGAGACCCCAGAAGCCCAUAUCUUCAUAUCUGAUCUUCCUGGUCUCAAGAAAGAGGAAGUGAAGGUAGAGUUUGAUGAAGGGAGGGUGCUUCAGAUAAGCGGAGAAAGACCUCCUGUGGACAAAGAUGGGGAAAAUGAAAAGUGGCAUAGGGUUGAACGUUGCCGUGGGAAGUUCCUGAGGAGGUUUAGGUUGCCGGAAAAUGCUAAGACUGAUCAAGUGAAGGCUUCCAUGGAGAGUGGAGUGCUUGUUGUCACAGUGCCUAAAGAGAAGGUCAAGAAACCAGAGAAGAAGGUGAUUGAGAUCAAGUGAAUUUCCAUGCCUAAGCUCAACAUAGUGUGUGUGUGUGUGUGUCAUGUAUAAAAUGCAUGCAAAUUAUGAAUAAAGGUUUUUUUUUUUAAUUUUCUUUUAUGAUAUGGGAAUUCAAGAGCUGGACUUCCAUGUUGUUAUAAGGGUGUCAUGAUCAUUGUAUUAUGCCCAUUCCAGCAAAUAAAGUUUUUUGUG